GACAGAGGAUGCAAGCGUUAUCCGGAAUGAUUGGGCGUAAAGCGUCUGUAGGUGGCUUUUUAAGUCCGCCGUCAAAUCCCAGGGCUCAACCCUGGACAGGCGGUGGAAACUACCAAGCUGGAGUGACGGUAGGGGCAGGAGGGAACUUCCGGUGGAGCGGUGAAAUGCGUAGAGAUCGGAAAGAACACCAACGGCGAAAGGCACAUCUGCUGGGCCGACACUGACACUGAGAGACGAAAGCUAGGGGAGCGAAUGGG
rnacentral:rRNA from 1 species